GACGAACGCUGGCGGCGUGCCUAAUACAUGCAAGUCGAACGAAGCUGUUUUAACUGGUGCUUGCACCGACUUAAACAACUGAGUGGCGAACGGGUGAGUAACACGUGGGUAACCUGCCCCAAAGCGGGGGAUAACAUUUGGAAACAGAUGCUAAUACCGCAUAACCACAGAAACCACAUGGUUUCUGUGUCAAAGAUGGUUUCGGCUAUCACUUUGGGAUGGACCCGCGGCGUAUUAGCUAGUUGGUAAGGUAAUGGCUUACCAAGGCAAUGAUACGUAGCCGAACUGAGGGGUUGAUCGGCCACAGUGGGACUGAGACACGGCCCAAACUCCUACGGGAGGCAGCAGUAGGGAAUCUUCCGCAAUGGACGAAAGUCUGAUGGAGCAACGCCGCGUGAGUGAAGAAGGUUUUCGGAUCGUAAAACUCUGUUGUCAGAGAAGAACGUGUGCGAGAGUAACUGUUCGUGCAGUGACGGUAUCUGGCCAGAAAGCCACGGCUAACUACGUGCCAGCCGCCGCAGUAA
rnacentral:rRNA from 1 species